GUAUUUGAGCGAAUUCAAGUGGAAAUUUGAAGAUAAAGCUGCCAGAAAAAUUUGGAUUCCAGAAAGUGCUAAGUGGGUCAGUUCUGAACAAUGCGUCAUGCAUGACAAGGAUAAUCUUUUUGGUUCAAAAUUUUAUGUAUUGGAUAAAGUGUAUGAAAAGAAAAUUCUUCCAUUUUUCUCCUUUGCCUUGGAAGUCCGUAGCNUGCCCUCCCUUGAUGAUUACAUCAAUAUUUGGAACGAUUGGGAGAGUUCAGUGGAAGAGUUGUCACCUGACCAAUGUUUUAAGUUCUGGUGGUUUAUGUUCAAUCAUUUGUCCACAAUAUCUGAGAAGAAACUAGCUAAUUGCUUGGUGAAACUGCCUGCAACAUCUGGCAACAAUNAAAUAUUUUUGUUAAACAAGAAUGAUGUUUUCAUUGCUGAUAACCUUCAUAUGAAGAAGCUUUUUGAGCAGGAGAAAGUCUUUGUCUGGUAUCCUCAGAACUUGACACCAUUGACCAGGUGUGAGUGGUUUAACAUGUACAGAAAAAUCGGUGCUCGAAAUAUCUCUGAAUCUAUUAGCAUGGAAGAGUCAUCCUUGAUCAACGGUGUUGAACUCAAAAAAGUUGAUCCUGGUCAUAUUUGUAAUGUGAAGGUGUUGGCUAAGCUUAUUCUUGGUUUCCUUUCUUCUUCUAGUCUUAAAAUGGAACCAAGCAAGAGACAUGAAGCUGUUCAAGAUCUGCUGAAAUUGAGUUUCUUUGAGACAAAGGGUGCAGUCACUGUAAGUUAUACUCUGUCGUUAUCAUCAGGGGACAAAAUUAUCAAAAAGGCAAACAGAAUGGUACGGUGGGAAAGACAAAGCUCCAAGUUUUUCACCCAAAUGAACUGGCAAAGUGAAGAGGCAAGUCUGCUAAAACAUGCUACAUAUUUUUCAGAAGCCAUAUCAGAGGGUGUUUUGCAAGAGAAUCAUGAUCACGUUCCUGAGCUUGCUAAGCUCAUCAGAUUGGCUUUUCUUCUGGAAUUCAACAGUGGGGAAAUUGAAUUUCUGAUGGAGUCCAACAACUUGCUUUGUGAGGAUGAGGACUUUCUCAGUUCUGCCUUCCCGGGUAGGGAAGUAUAUGAGAGGAAAACAAAGAAAAGGGGUAAGUAAGUUAGAAGCCUAACUGUAUGAACAGUUAAAUGUUUUAUAUGUACUUUCAAUUUAUAUAACAAAUGAAAAUUUAAUUUCGUUUUAAUUUGGAGUGAGACAAAAUUGUUUAAUUUUAAAAAGAAAAUAAGAUUGAAUUGAGAUAAAAUAAAAAUAAAAAUAUUAAAUUAAGAUUAAGGUAAUGAUACCGUGCAUGAUAGUGAUACGUGAGACUGUCACAUCAUACUGUCAUUAUUAUUUGAACUAAAUUGAGUACAUGAACACAGGUAGAAGCAUUCAAAGGCAUUCUCGGAGGAUUCGAUUAACUUAAGAAAUCUCAAGAACUCUUUAAGGCUUCAAGAAAGCAAGAAGGACUGUGAUAUCUGUACAAUUGUUUGUGCAUUCAGGUUCAUUAGAAUUUUUUUUGUGUUACCUUAAUUGUGUAGGCAAGAUUUAAGAGAGUGAGUGUGAUCCUCUCGGUUUUUUUCUUGUUUUGUAUUUGAGCUUUUAUGAGGAUAUAAAUUAAGAGAUAUCUUUUUUAUUUUUGACUCAGAUUUUUUUUUGUGGAUUUUCCAUUUCAACUAAGAUUGUUGAAGGAAAAUCGAAUGUUCAAUUCAAGAGCUGAAUGAGUAUAAAAUCUGUGUUGUUUACUACUAUUUUUUGCAUUUUAUCUUACUUGUUCAAAUACAAUUGAUUUCUAGAAUCAAGAUUUUUCAAGAAUUGUGAAAAUUAUUUUUAAACCCAAUUCACACUUCCCCCGUAAGUUCAUAUAAAUGGCAUUCGCUUGGAAUAUUGACAGUCAAAGGCAUUUUUUUCCAUUGCACGUGGAAUUGGCACAUCUUGGUUUCUAUAUGAUUACACCAAGAAAAAGUUUCGUACAUUUCUUGUCGUGUUUUAGUUGGUGUUGUUUUAUUAUUUAAAUUACCUAACCAAAUUUUGGUAAAAAGUUCAGGAUUUACGUUUAUUGUUGAUGUAAAAUAUGGAAAACUGUCUCUAUUUUUUUAAUUGUAAAAUAAAUGGUCAUUAUUUUUAAAAUUGUAAAAGAUAACAAGAAUACAAAGCUAGUUCUAGUAGUGAGAAAACAAUUGGUGCAAACAUAAGGUUGAACUUGUGGUUGAAUCUAUGGAAGAGCCUAUGGCAUAACUUGAGGUUCAACUGUGGUGCAACAAUCAGUGAUCUAGUAGUUGGUAGGUACUAGGAAACCCCAAAGGGGAUAAACCACUAAACAAAGCUAAUACCAAACCCUCCAAAAAUAGGGUCUUCUAAUAAGCAUUAGGCUGUGUUCUUUUAUGAGGAUUUGUGGGAGAUGGUUUGGAGGAGAUGAUUUGAAUAUAUUUGAGUGGAUUUUAGGGUAAUUUUUUUGUUGUUUUUUUGAGUGGAUUUGUGAGUAAUUGAGAGUGGAUUUGAGAGUAAAGUUUGUGAGAAUUAGUGUAGGAUUUGAUUGAUGUGACAAAUUUAAAAAAUUAGUUUAAUUGGUAAAAAUUAAAGAUUACUAAAAUGCCCCUAGUUAUUAAAAUGAUAUAAAAUAUUAUUUUUUAAUGUUAUAUUUAAAUGUAUAAAUGUUAAUAAAGAGAGGAAAUUAAUUAAUAAUAAUUAAAAUUAAUUUUUAAAUAUUAAAAAAAUUAUAAUGGAAUAAAAUAAAACCUGCAAAACAUACCAAUGGUAUUGCUGCUGCAAAAUAAACCUUGUUGGAGUUUCAAUUUUCGUACAGGGGCAUAUGUUGGAAUUUCAAUUUUCGUGCAGGGGUAUAUAAGUAUUUAUACACUAUAUCAGCUUAAAUCCUCUCAAAUUAGAGAGAUGAGUUCAACAGUAGUAUCAGACAUUUAAUUCAUUGCAAAUCAGUGCAAAUCGUGGCAUGAGAACAAAAACCAUCUCUCAAAUCCAUCCGUGCUUAUGACCCUGAAUAGUAUUUUCCUCUCAAACGAACACAGUGUUAAUGAGUUUUAGUAGACUAUGAUUUUUAGGUAAAAAUUUCAUAUAUUUUAUAUUACUUAUGAGUUUAUUGUUAUGAUCCAUGGUGCUAAAUUAGUGAUUGGUCAUGUUUAUGGUACUACUAAUGAGUGAAAUAUGGAGUUUAAAGUUUGUCAUUUUCUUUGUGAAGAAAUCAUUAUAAAGAUAAAUUAGUCAUCUUAGCUUUUAUUUAUGGGAACAACAUAAGUGGUUUUCAUGUAUAUAUUUAGAAUAAUUUUCAUAGAUCUUAUUUUCCUAUGUUUACUAAGGUGUAAUUUUUUUUUAUCACGGUUUAAACCUUUUUUUGGUCCCUAAUUUAUGAGCGGAUGUUUAGUUUAGUCUCCGCUUUUAAAAAUGUAAACCUUUGAUUCCUAAGUUAUAAAAAAUGUAUCAAAUGAGUCCUUUUUUGACGUUCAUGGUUAUUAAGAAACAAAUCAAAGCAAUCUAAAGAUGUAGGAGUUGUUAAGAAACAAACAAAAACAGUAUUUCAAGUUAAAAAAAGACUCAUUUGAUACAUUUUUUAUAACUUAGGGACCAAAGAUUUACAUUUUAAAAAACGAGAACUAAACUGAACAUAUGCUUAUAAUUUAGGGACCAAAAAAAAGUUUAAACCUUAAUUUUUCUUCUAUUUUUCUUAAUAAAAUUUUCACGUGAUGUCUAUUAUUGAAUUUUGGCGUGUUAUCGAACUUAUUUGGUAAAGAAAUUUGUAGUAGAUUUAAUUGAUGUCAUAAAUUAAAUUUGAUUAAUACAUUAAGAAUAUAAUUUAUAAAAUAUAUUUUUUAAAUAAUUUAAUGUUAAAAAAAUAAAAAUUGUAAACUAAAAUUAAAAUCAAAUUUAAAUUUAAAUAUGAAUUUUAAUAAAUAAAAAAUCAUAUUUCAUUAUAAAAAUAUGAUAAAAUAAAUUAUCAAGAUCAAAUAAAUACAUUUUAUUAUAUUUAUUAUUUUUAGUAUUUCUUUUAUUAUCUAUACUUAUAUAUAAAAGGAAAUUUUCAUUUUAUCUAUAUUUAUUUUUAACCUUUUUUUUUCGUAAUAACAUAUUAGAGUUGGUAGGUGUAUUAAAAUAAUACAACUGAUUAUUUUAUUAUAAAAUAAUUUCAUAAUAUAAAUAGAAUUUUCUAGUGUCAUUAUUUAAAAUAUCAUCUAUCUCUCUAAAACACUAUUCUUUUCGUUUCCUCUCAUAUGUCUCUAAGAUUUCUUACUCCUAAGUCAUUCAUUUGACGAUCAAGAGGUGUCUAGGCGAUCCUUGUAAAAAGGGCUAGUUAUCGAUCAAUUUGUUGAGUAGAACAAGUAACUUUCAUUCCUUUUUUCUUGGUGUUUUUUUUCUUGGUGUUUUUUUUUCUUGAUCCUUGAUCAUGCAAAGAGAAGUUGUUUUGCAUGAAUCAAGUGAUCUUCUUUCUUGAUUCAUGGUUCAUUUUAGAUUCUAAAGUUUGUUUCUAAUCACCAAUCAUUUAUUUAUAAGUGUGUAAGUUUGAUGAUCUAUGAGUAGUAAACUGUUUGGAUGCAAAGUUAUGUUUGUGUUAGUGAUGAUUGGAGUAAUUGGGUGUAAUUGAGUAUAUAAUGAUGAACUACUGUUAUGAAAUACAUUGAAUGAUUAAUUGAUCUGAAAUUAGAUGUUAUCAUGUUGCGAUUCUGUUAAAAAAUGUGUCCCAAGGUUAUUUGAAUAAAUGUUGAAAACUUAAAGUUUUAGUAAUAUUUUGGAAGAAGAAAUGAAAUUUUAGGUAGUGCAGUUGGAGAAAAGAGUGGAGAUCUAGUUUGGUGCAGUUGGGUCAGUUAUGAGGUGUCUUACCUAUAUCUGUUUAUAUUAUUUUUAAUAAAUUAUUUUUGAAAAAUACGUGGAUCAAGAUAUUAUUAACAAGCAUAAGCUGUUCAAUGAGAGUAGAAAGAGCGCGCACAGGUUUCUUAUAAACUUCUGACAAAGGAUGUGAUACUAUUAGCUGCGUACUGCAGUAAGAUAUGUUUAAGAUUUUAAUAAUAUUUUAUUAAGUCCAAAAAAAAUAAAUAUUUAUCGGCUCAAUAUAAAUAAAAAUAAAUAUUUAAAUUUUUUAAAUAUUUUUACUAUUUGACAGUUAAAUAUAUAUUUAUUCAAAUUAUAUUUAUAUAUUAUAAAUAAAUUUAAUAUUUUAGUAUGUUAUUUAAAUAUUAUAAUUAAAUUUUGAUACUUUAAAUAUUAAUUAUUAUUUAUGAUUAUAUUAAUAUUUAUUAUAUUGUUAUUAUGUUUUUAAAAUAAUUAUUAAAAAUAUAAAUUAACGUUCUAGAUUAAUGUAUAAAUAUAUAAUUAGUAUAAAUCGAGGAAUGAACUCUUUUUCUAUUUCAAUAAUAACAAAAAAUUUAUAAAAGGAUUUAAGAUUUUGUAGACUGGUUAUAAAUCAAAGUUUAGUGUUUAGGAUUAUUCAAUAUCCUAGUAAGAUAAAUAUGUUUUAAUAAUCAUAUUUAUUGGUGGAUGAUAAUAUUUUAAUAUUCUUUGUGUAGUUAUUUAUAUUUUAAAGAAAAUCUGAAAAAAUGAAAAGAAGAAGAAAUAAACUUUUCAACAAGGAUAAAUUUGAAAACAAAUAAUUAUAAAAUUCUGUUCUUAAAUUUUCAUUUUGCAAUGUUGAAAGUUUUAAAUAACUUUUCUUCUGAUAUUUGCCAAAUCAUUAUUCUCUCAAUAAAAAUAUUAAUUUAUUGUCUACAUUGAUUCUAUAAAUAUAAUUAAUGUUUAUUUACUUUUUGUGCAUCUUUUUCAAUAAGUCAAGAUAUUGGAAAGAUAAAUAUUUUCAAUAAUCAUAUUGGUUGUUUGUUGACCAAGUUUCAACGUUUUCUUUGUAUUUAUUUAUUAUUUACUUUUUAAGAGAAAAUCUCAAAACAUUACAGAGAAGACGAAGAUACUUUUCAGCAAGGAUAAAUUUGAAAGCAAAUAAUUUCUGCUCUUAAAUUUUUAUUUUGCAAUAUUGCAAGUUUUAAAUAACUUUCUUCUAAACUACAAUAAUAUGACAAGUAUUUAUAAUAAUUUUCACACGUUAUUAAUAUAAUACCAAUAAAAUUAUUAAUUUGGUUAAGUUUAUCAAUAAAUAAAAUAAUAUACUAAAUAACUAUAUUUAAUCAAAAUAUAUUAACAAUCUAAAAAACAUUUUCACCACUAUUCAAUUAUAGUAAUGUGUGGUGAAAUUAUUGUGUUUUUUUAUUAGAAAAUAAUAUCAUAUAUUGAUUAUAUUUCAUGAUUGAUGAGGAAGAUAUUAUAUUUAGUAAUCCUACAUUAUAGCAUAUAAAUGCAGCAAUCUUCAUCUAACUACUGUUAUAAAAGUGUUGCCAUCCGUUUUAAACAUCACAUUUUUAAGAAAGGAAGACUAAAGAGGAUUUGAAGGUAUUCACUAUUUAUUUAUUUCGUGUUCUUUUAAGUAAAUAUUUUUGUAAGUAAAUAAUAAUAAUAAUAAUAAUAUAUUAAUUUUAAUUAUAAAAAUAAAAUAAUAAUUUUAUAUUUUAGUUUAUUAAAACAUUAAUUUUAUUUUAUCACAUAUAUUAAAACUAAAAAAAGUUUUACCUUCAAAUACUUUUACUUUCUUUUCUAAAUCUCUUAAAAAAAAUAAUAGACAUUGUUUUAAAACUCAUCUAGUAAGUCUUUCUCAAAUCCAUCUUUAAAAUAAACAAUCAUACAUUUAACUCAUGACAUUUUUAAUCUAGGGUUAAAUGUUGUUAAUUGAAAAACGUAUUUGAAACAAUAAAUAAAGUUAAAAAAAUUUGAUAAAAAUACUAAAAUCAGAUUUUUCUAGACUAAAUUGUAUCUUAAUUUGAAAGAGACACUAAAAUUCAAAUCUCUAAAAACAUAUUUAACCCUUUAAUUUAUAUUAAAAAUUAUGGUAAUUAUUUUAUUUUAUGAGUGAGAUUUAAUUUAAUUUUUUAACAUUUAAUAUUAUCUUAUUAGGACUUGUAAAUUUAUUUUAAAGAUUUUUUAAAAAUAUUUAGAUUUAUUGUAUUACAAAUAUACAUAUAUAAUUAAUACAAAUAAAAGUAGAAACAGUAGAAGUUACAUAUGCAACUGAGAACAUAUUGCAAUCUUCUGAUUGGUCUCGUCGAAAGUACAAGGAAAGCCAAAGGAAAAUCAGAAACCGUACAAUAAUAAUUGAUAAUAAAUUUAAUGAAAACUCAAAUUUUCUACUUUACUUCUCCACGAAGUAGUCUUUUCCUCAUUGCUGUUUAUAAUGAGCUUUUAAAUACACCUAUACUGCUCUUCUUCCCUUCACAUUCUCUCAUUCUCACAUUCUCACACUCUCACUAUUCUUCCAUUUGUGAGACAUCAGGGCAGAGGUACCCUUAUGGAGGUCACACCAAAGGAACACAUUCAGAAGAUUAGAAGGACGAAGUUCUCCAUUGGAGGGGAACUAAACCCUUUGCGUGAGGAUUUGCACCAAGCAACGAAAAACCUCUCUACUGAACUUUAUGCCAAAGAUGUUCAUUUUCUCAUGGAACUAAUUC
rnacentral:lncRNA from 1 species